rnacentral:rRNA from 1 species
UACGUAGGUGGCCAGCGUUGUCCGGAGUUAUUGGGCGUAAAGCGCGCGCAGGCGGUGCGGUAAGUCUCUGGUGAAAGCGCUCGGCUUAACUGGGCGAGGGCCGGGGAGACUGCCACGCUGGAGGGGAGCAGAGGCGAGUGGAAUUCCGGGUGUAGUGGUGAAAUGCGUAGAGAUCCGGAGGAACACCAGUGGCGAAGGCGGCUCGCUGGGCUCUACCUGACGCUGAGGCGCGAAAGCGUGGGGAGCGAACCGG